rnacentral:rRNA from 1 species
GAUGAACGCUGGCGGCGUGCCUAAUACAUGCAAGUCGAGCGAACGGACGAGAAGCUCGCUUCUCUGAUGUUAGCGGCGGACGGGUGAGUAACACGUGGAUAACCUACCUAUAAGACUGGGAUAACUUCGGGAAACCGGAGCUAAUACCGGAUAAUAUUUUGAACCGCAUGGUUCAAAAGUGAAAGACGGUCUUGCUGUCACUUAUAGAUGGAUCCGCGCUGCAUUAGCUAGUUGGUAAGGUAACGGCUUACCAAGGCAACGAUGCAUAGCCGACCUGAGAGGGUGAUCGGCCACACUGGAACUGAGACACGGUCCAGACUCCUACGGGAGGCAGCAGUAGGGAAUCUUCCGCAAUGGGCGAAAGCCUGACGGAGCAACGCCGCGUGAGUGAUGAAGGUCUUCGGAUCGUAAAACUCUGUUAUUAGGGAAGAACAGAUGUGUAAGUAACUGUGCACAUCUUGACGGUACCUAAUCAGAAAGCAACGGCUAACUACGUG